CCAGACCAAGGUACUAUAACUAAAGACCUUGGACCAGACCUGCCACUCAGAAGCACCUGUCACACCACUGAGGCCGGCAGGUUAGAAACGGCAGGAUGGAAGUGGCGGUGCUCCUCCUGGUACUCCUCGCCUCACGCCUCACCUUCCUCACCACACACUGCUCAAUUGUCUACCUCAAGGACUUCGAGCUGGCCGUGACUGGACCUAGGGCGUGCAGGAUAAAAGGAGAGAGAGACAUCCCGCCCGGCAUCAAAACCAACAGGAAGGACUCGUACUGUAUCUUACACUGUGCUCAGCAUUACUGGUGCGAGUAUGUA